rnacentral:rRNA from 1 species
UACGAACUGUGCAAAACGUUAUUCGGAAUCACUGGGCUUAAAGGGUGCGUAGGCGGCUUAUCAAGUAGGGUGUGAAAGCCCCCCGGCUUAACCGGGGGAAUUGCGCCCUAAACUGACGAGCUGGAGUGGGACAGGGGUGUGUGGAACUUCCGGUGGAGCGGUGAAAUGUGUUGAUAUCGGAAGGAACGCCGGUGGCGAAAGCGACACACUGGGUCUCAACUGACGCUGAGGCACGAAAGCCAGGGGGAGCGAACGGG